UACGAAGGGUGCAAACGUUGCUCGGAAUCAUUGGGCGUAAAGCGCACGUAGGCGGCUUCGCAAGUCGGAUGUGAAAUCCCGUGGCUCAACCCAGAGACGCCACCCGAUACUGCUGUGACUUGAGUCUGGUAGGGGAUCGCGGAAUUCCAGGCGUAGCGGUGAAAUGCACAGAUAUCUGGAGGAACACCAGCAGCGAAGGCGGCGAUCUGGGCCAGUACUGACGCUGAGAAGCGAAAGCGUGGGGAGCGAACAGG
rnacentral:rRNA from 1 species